UACGAAGGGGGCUAGCGUUGUUCGGAUUUACUGGGCGUAAAGCGCACGUAGGCGGAUCGUUAAGUCGGGGGUGAAAUCCUGGAGCUCAACUCCAGAACUGCCUUCGAUACUGGCGAUCUUGAGUCCGGAAGAGGUGAGUGGAACUCCUAGUGUAGAGGUGAAAUUCGUAGAUAUUGGCUGGAACACCGGUGGCGAAAGCGGCUCUCUGGCCCGGUUCUGACGCUGAGGCGCGAAAGCGUGGGGAGCAAACAGG
rnacentral:rRNA from 1 species